CUUUUUGGAGAAAGCAUGGCCAGGGAGCACAUGGGGAACAAGGCCGGAGUGAUCCGCACGGAGUAAAUCCUGGGGCUUUCGUGUAAGCCAUUCUGAAGGGAGCGGACCAUACGUGGAAAGACGCGCGAUACUGAAAUACCCCAGCCUUGCCUACCCCCUUUUCACUACCGACGCCGAUCGCCCGACCCACGCCUGGCUCACCAACUCUGAUUUCUACCUUCGCCCUCUGGACUCCGUUGCUGAUCGUUGCUGUGCCUUCAGCCACCUUUCCUGUCUCCGGGUCCGCAGAGUUUAUUAGGAAGCAUCAUUCUAUGCUGGUUAUUUUCUCACAGCUCAUUCUGCAAUAAAACCACUUACCUGAA